CAGUCGCCGCGGGAAAACGAGGGGUGCAAGCGUUAUUCGGAUUGAUUGGGUGUAAAGGGUGUGCAGACGGCUUAUUAAGUCACUUGUUAAAUUCUUCGGCCUAACUGAAGGUCUGCAAGUGAUACUGAUGAGCUAGAGGGUGGAAGAGAGAAGUGGAAUUCUCGGAGUAGCGGUAAAAUGCGUAGAUCUCGAGAGGAACACCAAUGGCGAAGGCAGCUUCUUGGUCCAUUCCUGACGUUCAUACACGAAAGCGUGGGGAGCGGACAGGAUUAGAUACCCCAGUAGUCCCUGUCUCUUAUAC
rnacentral:rRNA from 1 species